AUGGGGCAUGUGAUGAAUCUCAUUUUUUUAAUGGGUAAUUUGCGGCUGAAUUGUUUCUUUGAUGCCAAAUCACCUUGGAGACCUGAUGCCCACU
rnacentral:snoRNA from 2 species